rnacentral:rRNA from 1 species
AUUGAGCGCUGGCGGCAUGCCUUACACAUGCAAGUCGAACGGUAACAGGUCUUCGGAUGCUGACGAGUGGCGAACGGGUGAGUAAUACAUCGGAACGUGCCCAGUAGUGGGGGAUGACUACUCGAAAGAGUGGCUAAUACCGCAUGAGAUCUACGGAUGAAAGCAGGGGAUCGCAAGACCUUGUGCUACUAGAGCGGCCGAUGGCAGAUUAGGUAGUUGGUGGGAUAAAAGCUUACCAAGCCGACGAUCUGUAGCUGGUCUGAGAGGACGAUCAGCCACACUGGGACUGAGACACGGCCCAGACUCCUCCGGGAGGCAGCAGUGGGGAAUUUUGGACAAUGGGCGCAAGCCUGAUCCAGCAAUGCCGCGUGCAGGAUGAAGGCCUUCGGGUUGUAAACUGCUUUUGUACGGAACGAAAAGCCCCGGGUUAAUACCCUGGGGUCAUGACGGUACCGUAAGAAUAAGCACCGGCUAACUACGUGCCAGCAGCCGCAGUAA